rnacentral:rRNA from 1 species
GAUGAACGCUGGCGGCGUGCCUAACACAUGCAAGUCGAGCGAUUCUCUUCGGAGAAGAGCGGCGAACGGGUGAGUAACGCGUAGGCAAUCUGCCUUCUAGAUGGGGACAACAUACCGAAAGGUAUGCUAAUACGAGAUAAUAUACUUUUAUCGCAUGGGAGAAGUAUCAAAGCUUUUGCGGUACAGGAUGGACCCGCGUCUGAUUAGCUAGUUGGUAGGGUAACGGCUUACCAAGGCGACGAUCAGUAGCCGACCUGAGAGGGUGAUCGGCCACAUUGGAACUGAGACACGGUCCAAACUCCUACGGGAGGCAGCAGUGGGGAAUAUUGCACAAUGGGCGAAAGCCUGAUGCAGCAACGCCGCGUGAGCGAUGAAGGCCUUCGGGUCGUAAAGCUCUGUCCUCAAGGAAGAUAAUGACGGUACUUGAGGAGGAAGCCCCGGCUAACUACGUGCCAGCAGCAGCCGCUG